rnacentral:rRNA from 1 species
AAUCUUCCGCAAUGGACGCAAGUCUGACGGAGCGACGCCGCGUGGGGGAUGAAGGCCCUACGGGUUGUAAACUUCUUUUAUACAGGAAUAAAGUGAGUCACGUGUGACUUUUUGCAUGUACUGUAUGAAUAAGGAUCGGCUAACUCCGUGCCAGCAGCCGCGGUAAUACGGAGGAUCCAAGCGUUAUCCGGAUUUAUUGGGUUUAAAGGGUGCGCAGGCGGAAGAUUAAGUCGGCGGUGAAAUUUUGCAGCUCAACUGUAAAAGUGCCAUCGAUACUGGUUUUCUUGAGUGUGGAUGAAGUAGGCGGAAUUUGUGGUGUAGCGGUGAAAUGCAUAGAUAUCACGAGGAACUCCGAUUGCGCAGGCAGCUUACUAGGCCAUAACUGACGCUCAGGCACGAAGGCGUGGGGAUCAAACA